rnacentral:rRNA from 1 species
GGAAAGUCCGGCAGUAAAGGGUGAUAGCCCCGUAUCUGAAGAUGCUGUUAUUGUGAACUCGACGAGUAGGGCGGGACACGUGUUAUCCUGUCUGAAUAUGGGGGGACCAUCCUCCAAGGCUAAAUACUCCUGAUUGACCGAUAGUGAACCAGUACCGUGAGGGAAAGGCGAAAAGAACCCCGGCGAGGGGAGUGAAAAAGAACCUGAAACCGUGUACGUACAAGCAGUAGGAGCCCCAUCACUCAAGUGCCUCGCACUGAGUGAUGCAAGAACAUCACCGAAAUAGCGCCGAAUUUGCUAACAAGGUUGGU